AGAGUUUGAUCCUGGCUCAGAUUGAACGCUAGCGGGAUGCUUAACACAUGCAAGUCGAACGGCAGCGCGAGUUAAGCUUGCUUAACUUGGCGGCGAGUGGCGAACGGGUGAGUAAUGUAUCGGAACGUGCCCAGUAGCGGGGGAUAACUACGCGAAAGCGUGGCUAAUACCGCAUACGCCCUACGGGGGAAAGGGGGGGAUCGCAAGACCUCUCACUAUUGGAGCGGCCGAUAUCGGAUUAGCUAGUUGGUGGGGUAAAGGCCUACCAAGGCGACGAUCCGUAGCUGGUUUGAGAGGACGACCAGCCACACUGGGACUGAGACACGGCCCAGACUCCUACGGGAGGCAGCAGUGGGGAAUUUUGGACAAUGGGGGCAACCCUGAUCCAGCCAUCCCGCGUGUGCGAUGAAGGCCUUCGGGUUGUAAAGCACUUUUGGCAGGGAAGAAACAGCCUGGGAUAAUACCCCGGGCGACUGACGGUACCUGCAGAAUAAGCACCGGCUAACUACGUGCCAGCAGCCGCGGUAAUAC
rnacentral:rRNA from 1 species